rnacentral:rRNA from 1 species
UACGGAGGGGGCUAGCGUUGUUCGGAAUUACUGGGCGUAAAGCGCGCGUAGGCGGCUUUGCAAGUCGGGUGUGAAAUCCCCAGGCUUAACCUGGGAACUGCAUCCGAUACUGGAUGGCUUGAAUCCGGGAGAGGGAUGCAGAAUUCCAGGUGUAGCGGUGAAAUGCGUAGAUAUCUGGAGGAAUACCGGUGGCGAAGGCGGCAUCCUGGACCGGCAUUGACGCUGAUGAGCGAAAGCUAGGGGAGCAAACGGG